AGGACGAACGCUGGCGGCGUGCCUAACACAUGCAAGUCGAACGAGGUCCAACCGGUGGCAACACUGGUGAAGACCGAGUGGCGAACGGGUGAGUAACACGUGAGCAACCUGCCUCGAAGACUGGGAUAACCCCGGGAAACCGGAGCUAAUACCGGAUACCCCCACCGGGUCGCAUGGCCUGGUGAGGAAAUGGAUUCCGCUUUGAGAGGGGCUCGCGGCCUAUCAGCUUGAUGGUGGGGUAAUGGCCUACCAUGGCACCGACGGGUAGCUGGUCUGAGAGGACGAUCAGCCACACUGGGACUGAGACACGGCCCAGACUCCUACGGGAGGCAGCAGUGGGGAAUCUUGCACAAUGGACGAAAGUCUGAUGCAGCAACGCCGCGUGGGGGAUGAAGCUUUUCGGAGUGUAAACUGCUUUUCUCGGGAAGAGCAAGGACGGUACCCGAGGAAUCAGCCCGGCUAACUACGUGCCAGCAGCCGC
rnacentral:rRNA from 1 species